UUAUGAAUUUGUUUAUUAUGUUCAUUGAUGUUAUUUGUAGAAUGGUUAUGUUGUAUGUUGAAAAUUCAUAGAUGUUAUAUGUAGAAUGGUUAUGUUCAUUGAUUCUAUAUGUAGAAUGGUUAUGUUCAUUGAUUUUAUAUGUAGAAUGGUAUGAUUGUAAAUGGUUAUGUUGUAAAGAUACAUGUUUUCUUUGUGUUGUAUGUUUGAUGGGAGGGCAUUGCACAUGAUUCACGAGUUUUAAAAGAAGUUGCAUUCAACCCAAAUUCUGGCUUUCCUUUUCCGCCACCAGAUAAGUAUUACCUUUGUGACGCUGCAUACACCAACACUCGUGGAUUUAUGACUCCCUACCGUGGUACGAGGUAUUGGUUAGCCGAUUUUAGACGACAACGUGCGUUAACUAAGGAAGAAAGAUUCAAUCAUGCUCACGCACAACUCAGAAAUGUCAUUGAACGUGCAUACGGUGUUCUAAAGGCGAGAUUCCCAAUCCUAAAGCAAAUGGCUCCCUUUUCUUUUCCAAUACAAAGAGACAUCGUGAUUGCUUGUUUCGCCGUCCAUAAUUUUAUAAGGAAAUGCAAUAUUUAUGAUCAGUUAUUUAUGGACUAUGAUGAGAACACGAUGUUUCAUGAAAUGCAAAGUGGGGAAAAUGAUGGCCUGCUAGUUCAAGACAUAGAGUGGGGUUCACAAGGUAUUGACUACAUGACUUCUUUACGUAACCAGAUUGCUAAUCAGUUGCUUUCAAAUGAAUCAAAUUAAAAAUGUAUGUAGAGUUGUGUUAUUUGUAUUUGGAUUUCGUAUGUUGUGUUGUUUUGUAUUUGGAUUUAAAGGAUUGAUGUGUAAUUUGGAUUUUCUA